rnacentral:rRNA from 1 species
ACGGGUGAGUAACGCGUGAGCAAUCUGCCUUUAGGAGGGGGAUAACAGUCGGAAACGGCUGCUAAUACCGCAUAAUACGUUUGGGAGGCAUCUCUUGAACGUCAAAGAUUUUAUCGCCUUUAGAUGAGCUCGCGUCUGAUUAGCUGGUUGGCGGGGUAACGGCCCACCAAGGCGACGAUCAGUAGCCGGACUGAGAGGUUGAACGGCCACAUUGGGACUGAGACACGGCCCAGACUCCUACGGGAGGCAGCAUG